rnacentral:rRNA from 1 species
UACGUAGGGGGCAAGCGUUGGUCCGGAUUUAUUGGGCGUAAAGAGCGUGUAGGCGGCCAGGUAGGUCCGUUGUGAAACUCGAGGCUCAACCUCGAGACGUCGGCGGAAACCCUCUGGCUAGAGUCCGGAAGAGGAGAGUGGAAUUCCUGGUGUAGCGGUGAAAUGCGCAGAUAUCAGGAAGAACACCCGUGGCGAAGGCGGCUCUCUGGGACGGUACUGACGCUGAGACGCGAAAGCGUGGGGAGCAAACAGG